GGCAUUUAUAAUGAGAUUCCAAUGUAUUCCGUUGAAAAUUACUAUUAUUUAGGCCGGUCGCGGUGGCUCACGUCUGUAAUCCCAGCACUUUGGGAGGCUGAGGUGGGCGGAUCACCUGAGGUCGGGAAUUUGAGACCAGCCUGGCCAAUAUGGUGGAACCCUGUCUCUACUAAAAAUACAAAAAAUUAGCUGGGCGUGGUGGCUCGCUUGUAAUCCCAGCUACUCGGGAGGCUGAGGCAGGAGAAUCCUUGAACCCGGGAGGCACAGGUUACAGUGAGCCGAGAUCACACCACUGCACUCCAGCCUGGACAACAGAGCGAGACUGUCUCCAAAAAAAAAAAAAAAGAAAAUUUUUAUUAUUUAGAGAGAGGCUCUCAUAUUUUAGUUCUGUUGAAACUCUCCCAUUCUUUCUGAAACUUGGAUUUUUUUUGUGAAAACUUGAGUCUUAAAAACACAUCCAUAGUUCACCCUGAAGUUUGAAGACCUCACUUGACUGAUGGAGCGAGAGCCCCGCUAACCUGCACUCUGGUCUCUAAGGUGCAGUCAUCGAGAAGUCCUGAGCGGCCGUGCAGGUUUCCCGAUCUGGAAAAGAGAAAUGUUGCUGAGGACAGGAUGAGGUAGAUAAGGGGCUGCCCUUUGUUUUGGACCAGUUGCAUUUGCACUGAGGUUAGAAUUGGCAGCUAUGUUGAUUUUUAUAUCAAAAUCCAAGAUCGUGCUUCCAUAACUAAAAGCUUUAUAAACAACUUAAAAAUUGGCAGUGUUGGUAGGAAGAAAUAAAGGCACAAUCCAGAAUUGAGAGGUGAUUUGUGUCCUUUAGGGCAGGGACUUUUAUAAUCCCGCAGUGUGUACCUUGGUGUAUAGUUGUUAAGCCAAGUGCACA
rnacentral:lncRNA from 10 species